rnacentral:tRNA from 1 species
GGUCGUAUAGUGUAGCUGGUUAGCACAUCGGAUUCUGAUUCCGGUAAUCCUGGUUCGAAUCCUGGUAUGACCU